CCAGAUUGAAUUUGUCUCCUCUGUCUUCUGGGAAGCUUGCAAGGAGACGGUGGAGAGGAGAAAAUUCUUCAGAGUGUCUAGAGACUGGCAAAACUAGAAAUGGGAUAAAAUAUGACCAGAGAGGAUCUGUUUUGUUCUCAUUUGGUCAUCAGAUUUGGGGAAAGGAGCUACUUCUUGACAAGCUAUAUAUAGGAAGGAUGGAUCUGGGUUGAGGAGUAGCAUUGGUCGCCCAUUUUGUAAGGAGAAUGUGACCUGCUUGUUUCCUCAAAGAUUGUUUUAACUAAUAGCAGAAAGAUGCACUGAUUAAUUUGACUUUAACUUCCAUCUGGAAAGUUCGUACUGUUCUUCUGCAGACUUAUAUUUGCUAAGUAUUUUGUAGACUUUUUUUUUUUUUUUUUUUUUUUUGUCUGUGGAUGUCAUUAGGUGUUUUGUAGACUCUCCUGAGCCAGACAAACUAAAUGACCGGUAGGGUCUGUUAUUCUUAACUGGACUUCUUUCAUGUUAUUUUCAUGAUCUUUAGACACACAUACUAAAAUUCACAAAGUGAAAAUAUGAGGAAGUUGCUGGUAAUUCACACAGUAAUUUGUGUUUAUUUUGUCACACAAUCUGCGAGUCAUUGUUUAAUUUACGUCUGGAAGAACUGUCGUUUGAACUUUGUCUUUCCCUUACAUAGUUUAGCAAUGGGAUAAGACAUAGUAAACUUACAAAACAGAAGUACCUGUGUGAGUGGACAAAGACCCUAACAAUACAAAAAUUAGAAUAUGUUAUAUAACCUGGAUAUUUUAAUUUUUUAUGUUUUUGUUUUGUUUUGUUUUUUACUUAAAACUAUUUUUCAGUGGUUGGAGUACGUACUACAACAUCCUCUGUUCCUGAAUUUCCUCAGGCAUUACAAGAACAACCCUUGGCUUUGCUAAGAAUAUGAAGUAAAUGUUAUGUUACAUGUAGGAGAAUUGAUAGCAAGUGCCUUUAUGAGUUAUAACCUUUCUACUUCUAGCCGUGAGAAUUAUUUUACAUGAUUGAUUGGUAUAAUUAGGCUGUCUAGUGGAGCAGUGGCAAUUCCUUGUGCUGCCAAGCAGGAGGGACCUCUGUGCUGAACUCUCACAGCCUGGAAUGGCCAACAAUGGGCCUGCCAUGGAGAAGAUGGGUCUGACCUUUGGGGAAGGUGGUGGACAUGUCACUCAAAGAGCAGAGCAGCUGACUGUGAGCAGAAAGCAGCUGUCCAUGUGCCUCUAAUAGCUGGACACAAAACUUAUAUUUCAUCAGGCUCAAUGUAAAGGAAACAGUAGUGAGACAAGAAGCUUUGUGAAUGUGUAGACUGCAGCAGAAUGGAUUGGACUUCAGAGUUCAAAACUCAUGGCUUCCCUGUUAUCUCCUU
rnacentral:lncRNA from 1 species